rnacentral:rRNA from 1 species
UUCGCAAUGCCCGAAAGGGUGACGAAGCGACGCCGCGUGAGUGAGGAAGGCCUUCGGGUUGUAAAGCCCUGUCAGGAGUUAAGAAAUGUAAGUGUGCUAAUAUCGCAUUUACUUGACGAAGGCUCCAAAGGAAGUCACGGCUAACUCUGUGCCAGCAGCCGCGGUAAUACAGAGGUGGCAAGCGUUGUUCGGAAUUAUUGGGCGUAAAGAGCACGUAGGUGGGUUUGUAAGUCAGAUGUGAAAGCCUCCUGUUCAACGGGAGAAUUGCAUCUGAAACUACUGAUCUUGAGUAUAGGAGGGGAGAAUGGAACUUCUGGUGGAGCGGUGAAAUGCGUAGAUAUCAGAAGGAACGCCGGCGGCGAAAGCGAUUCUCUGGCCUAUUACUGACACUCAGUGUGCGAAAGCUAGGGGAGCAAACGGGAUUAGAUACCCCGGUAGUCCUAGCCGUAAACGAUGGGCACUAAGUAGAGGGGUUUU